rnacentral:tRNA from 1 species
AUUUAAAUAGUUUAAAUAAAACAUAAUAUUGAAGAUAUUAAAAUGAUAUUAAUUAUCUUUAAAUA